rnacentral:rRNA from 1 species
GACGAACGCUGGCGGCGUGCUUAACACAUGCAAGUCGAGCGAUGAAGUUCCUUCGGGGACGGAUUAGCGGCGGACGGGUGAGUAACACGUGGGUAACCUGCCUCAUAGAGGGGAAUAGCCUUUCGAAAGGAAGAUUAAUACCGCAUAAGAUUGUAGCUUCGCAUGAAGCAGCAAUUAAAGGAGUAAUCCGCUAUGAGAUGGACCCGCGUCGCAUUAGCUAGUUGGUGAGGUAACGGCUCACCAAGGCGACGAUGCGUAGCCGACCUGAGAGGGUGAUCGGCCACAUUGGGACUGAGACACGGCCCAG